GUAUUUAAAUGCUGUUAAGCGUUUGAACAUUCUUAAAUAAAUAAAGUGUAUGUUAAAGGGGAUCUCGACAUUACCAAAAGGUCAUGCCUACUGUCCCCUCAGAGAUGCACAGGUGUAUAAAGAUUGAGAGGGCAAGCACAUGCGAAGUUAAUCGCCAGCUCAACCCUCAAAGGUUCAUUAAUGAUCCUUCCGCAGGUUCACCUACGGAAA
rnacentral:misc_RNA from 1 species